rnacentral:rRNA from 1 species
UUUCCUACGGGAGGCAGCAGUGAGGAAUAUUGGUCAAUGGGCGCAAGCCUGAACCAGCCAAGUCGCGUGAGAGAUGACGGUCCUAUGGAUUGUAAACCUCUUUUGUCGGGGAGCAAGGCCCGCCACGUGUGGCGGGAAGGAGAGUACCCGAAGAAAAAGCAUCGGCUAACUCCGUGCCAGCAGCCGCGGUAAUACGGAGGAUGCGAGCGUUAUCCGGAUUUAUUGGGUUUAAAGGGGUCGUAGGCGGAGUGUCAAGUCAGCGGUAAAAUUUCGGGGCUCAACCCCGUCGGGCCGUUGAAACUGAG